rnacentral:lncRNA from 1 species
UUGAGAUCUUAGAAUGCUAUACGCAGCCCCCCUGCAAGGUUACUUUAGAUAGCGGUAUUUUCUGUAUAAGAUUGGCAUCCCCAUUCUAAGGUUACUUAGUACUUAGGUCGUGAGUUCCGCUCUUAGUAGCCUUUAUUCCCAUCCACAUUUUCUGUAUAAGAUUGGCAUCCUCAUUUUAAGGUUACUUAGUAUUUAGGUCUUGAGUUUCGCUCUUAGUAGCCUUUAUUCCCAUCCCGCGUAAGAACAUAGGUUUUUUUCCCUCAGUUUCUGCUCUCCUUGCUUUAACUAAAGAACUACCUUUCACUUUAAGUAGGACUCUAAGAGCUCUACCUUAGAAUGAGUUAGAUUUCCUGUGUUAACAAGAAGGAAUGGCGGGACGCUAAAGAGAUGGCUAUGAGACUAGUGCACUGAGGUAAUCGACCAAGUAAUCCACAUACAUGAUAAAAGAGCAUUCCAGCCCUAGUGUACUUAUCCACUGGCAUUGAAGGAGAAGAAUGACAAGGUCUGCUUCCACAGUAAGCAUUGCCGCUUUGUCCAAUCCAAGAGCAAACAAGGGAUGCCUCAUUAAGCAAGAACCCGAUAUAAGAGCGGGGCAGUUCAAUUAAGGUAUAGAGAAAGCUCCAAGAAGCUACCAUUGAUCAACCUUAUUCAGGAACAUCAAUCAAAGAUCUUGCUUACCGGAUAACUUUCCUGGUGAAGGAGAGAAAGUUUGACAAGUUAAGAAAGUCUCGUUGAAAGCAAGAACUCAGACUGUGACGACUAUUAUCACUAGUUUCAAAGGCUUGAUUGACCAUUGGGAUUGAAUCUUGCUAUGGGGUGCCCUCGUAAAGACUAAAACCUCGUUACGCCGAAAAUAGUAGAGGUGCGACAGCGCUUUGGUAGUGAGUGGAAACUUACUUUCUGUCUGGUUAGUAGGAAUUUCUUGCCUGCUAAGGGAUUAGUCCAAGUUAGACCGAGAAGUAAGAGUUUGUAAUUGAAGUCGGGGGGGCUGAAUAGUUUGCAUGCUAAGGGAUUAGUCCAAGUUAGACCGAGAAGUAAGAGUUUGUAAUUGAAGUCGGGGGGCUGAAUAGAUAAAUUCUCUUUCCAUGUAGCGCUAAGAAGCAAGUUUCGAUAGCCUAUGAUGAAAUAGCACAAAAAAAGGGCUACGCGAAUAGUAGUGUUAGUAGUUCGUGAGGCUAAUUUUGAGCUAGAUAGUUGAUUGAUGUUCACUAUAGCACUAUCUGACCUUGAAGGUUAAGUUAGUGUACCAUGAACUCCAUCCCACAUAUUUUGGAUGCUGUGGCAUCAGUUAUCUAGCUACAUUCUAUUACCGGUUGACACCAUUUUGGAAAACUUUUAUUCCGGUUACUGCUUGUUAAAUUCCGUUAGGUUCUUUGUCAAAUACUAACUGAUUUUAAUCCAUAUUCUUUUGGGGUGUAACUUUGGUUGUUCUUUCCUUCGAGCUAAGAUAGACCCUAUCAAAAACGAGUUCCAGAAGCAUCUUCCAUUCAUCUCGACCUAGACUGAUCUUUGUUGCGAGUUAAGAUAGACCCUAUCACAAACUAGUUCUAGAAGCAUCUUCCAUUCAUCUCGACGUAGACUGAUCUUUGUUCUGAUGAUGAUAAACCAUCAUCAAUUUGUAUAGUAUAUGUACCCCCAAGCCCUUUUUUGUACCAUUCUUUUCUUUUAAAAAGAGGGCUUGAAACUGGGCUCUCUUCACAGCCCCUAAAAGCGUUAGGAAGAGAUUUAAUCAGCCAGCGUAAUAAAUUCAGUCGAUAGAAAAAUCUAUCAAGACCUAAACCAAAGAAUACCAUCUCCCAGGGAGUCUUUUUAUUUUGCAUAUCUCGAGUUUAGUAUUCUCCUCACGCUUUUUCCAUCACGAUUUUCUCUUCGAGAACACUCGCCUCGUCGGUUCUUCCCCUCGUUCCUUUUAUUUUGGACAUUGAGAUGUUUAUGCAAAGAAUUCUUUUCUACCCUAUGUAGGCGACACAGGCUACAGAGCUGUAGACUUAAGACCUAAGGAUAUUUCUUUGACGGGUGAUCGGGUCUUAGAAUCCUCAGGAAAGUGUAAGCACCUGUAUACAAUUUCUAUUUUGCUUUCUAUAUAUAGAUAUGGCUUUCUCUUGAUGGAAUAUACCAAGCUAAAUCUUCUUUUUAGAACCACAACUCAGUGAAGUAGGCGACAACUGCUAUUAGGGUCUGUCUUAAGGCAUUGGCUCUCUAAAAAAAGGAUUUCCUAUCGUUGCAUGGGUUCCUUUUUGUAUAAAACAUAUUGACUACAAAUUGAACUAAAGAAAGAAUGUUGACUGUUCGACAACGUGAAGACUGCAAUCUCGACUUAGAAUAAUCAAACGCCCAUCACGAGUCACAUGGGCACCCCCACCAGGUAGAAUAGUUAUAAUUUCUAUUUUGCUUUCUAUAUAUAUAUAUAUAGAUAUGGAUUUCUCUUGAUGGAAGAUACCAAGCUAAAUCUUCUUUUUAGAACCACAACUCAGUGAAGUAGGCGACAACUGCUAUUAGGGUCUGUCUUAAGGCAUUGGCUCUCUGAAAAAAGGAUUUCCUAUCGUUGCAUGGGUUCCUUUUUGUAUAAAACAUAUUGACUACAAAUUGAACUAAUGAAAGAAUGUUGACUGUUCGACAAUGUGAAGACUGCAAUCUCGACUUAGAAUAAUCGAACGCCCAUAACGAGUCACAUGGGCACCCCCACCAGGUAGAAUAGUUGUGAUAUCCCCAUCAAGAUCUAACUCUAAGAGGAUACUAUUCAUUUCUUCUUUACACUGCUGCUCGCUUUGGAGACUAAACAAUGGAAAUAAUACGUAACAGUCAGCCAAGUAACGAUAAUAAGAAAGACUAGGGUAUAGCUGUUUAAAUCCCCGGUCGAAAUCAUCCAACAUAAAAUUGUAUAAGACCUUAGUGAAGUAACGAUAAUAAUAAAGACUAGGGUAUAGCUGUUUAAAUCCCCAGUCGAAAUCAUCCAACAUAAAAUUGUAUAAGACCUUAGUGAUUAACCCAGCGUGUGGGAUCCUUUUUCCGUAAUAGAACAAUUAAUUCCAUUUUGGUCAUAAACUGGUAUCUUUAAAAAGGAUGAAACUAAGGAUAUUACGUAGCUAUCACGCACCAAGGGUGCCAGCUUUCGUAAAAUUCUUUUAUGAGGAAUAGUACCUUGUGAGGGUGCUAGAUUCAAAAUGAAAAUAGUUCUAAUCUUCCCCACUCCACCUAAUUUGGCAAAGAACUCACGGCGAUCUUUGGGAAAACCACAUGACUGCUCCUGAAAGAUAGAUGAACGCAUAAAACAACUAUUCAACAUAUGCGCCAGAUUAAAACGAGAGCGUCCCUUUCACCAGGACAAACAAACCAUUUAUGAUCAGGGUCCCCUGGCUGACAUAAAGUUUCAACAUAAAAAAAAUCGCCUCGUAUUUGGGAAUACUUAAUAACUUAAGUGGGGAAAAUGCAUACUUCUCUUCUGAGAUAAGAAUGAUUAUAUCACAUACGCUUAAAGGGGGCAACGAAAAUAGAUCACCAAGUUUAGCCUAACAUAUAAUAUUGACCGGGCAAGUUGUUGUGCAGAGCAUGAAUAAGGUUGAUUUUUCCGUGGGUCCUCGCCAUCUGAAUCAAUUCUGAACGAACAAUAUCUCUAUCUAGCUUUGUUAUUAUUACAGUGUUAUCUGCACCUAGCCAGUAAGUAGAGAUAUGGAGAGAGGGGACAAUUUUGUCGCGGACCUUUCUUUGGUUUCUUUUAUGAACUCCACUGGUCGUCCAUGGAUUUUAGGGGCUUUCCAAUCUAUAUAAAUAAACAUUCAUAUCCUACUUUGCAAGUCCCAUUUUCCUUAAGCAUAUAGAAACCUAUGAUUCUAAUUUUCAUAUGCUGCUGGUUUGGUGAGUUUAGUGAUCAUGGCUGGCUCACCUGAUCUAUCAGCUGAGUAGUAAGCCUCCUUGGGAUAAUUAUCAAUAUCUCUUCCUAUCAAAAUGAGAUUAGGAGGGCGCCCUUUUUAAAGAGCCAGCCUGUCUUUCAAUAGAAUCCUAUAGAAAUGAGAUUAGGAGGGCACCCUUUUUAAUGAGCCAGCCUGUCUUUGAAUAGAAACUAUUGGCAAUUACCUUAGUCAUUCUCUUAUCUAGUGUAGUCCCCAUAGCAAUGGGCCUCGGUCUAGUGAGGUUUUGCUUUUUUGGGAAUCAUUGCUAGGAAUAAGGAUUGAAUUGCACCUGGUUUGCUCCUGUUUGACUUCAAUUACCAUAUGGAAAUGGAGAUCUGGUCUAUAGGUUUUGCUUUUUUGGGACUUAUUGCUAGGAAUAAGGAUAGAAUUGCACCGGUUUGCUCCUGUUUGACUUCGAUCACCAUAUGGAAAUGAAGAUCGUCCAAUAUUAUGUUCCAGCACUGCCCCUGAAUGAAUCAACCAAGUAGAAGUUGAAGUUCAGUAGGAAUCCAUAUAGUCUAGUAGUUUUUUACUAUAAUAGCCCCUUAUUGUUGAUAGAGAGCUUACCGCCCCACCCUUUAUAGUCGCGACUGUUUUCAUGGAAAAAGAGUUUGUUUUUUGUCAAAGAAGCAUGCUUAACACACCCUAUAACAUAAAGGCAUUCGAGCCGCGUCUAAACUAAAUGUUGGGCAAGGGCCCGUACUCUCUCUUCUGUGGAUACGCUAUCCCUUCCGGCUAUGGUAUGGGGAAGGGGAGGUGAGAUCUACUCAUUGAUUUUAUAUUAGAUGAGCGGCCGUACUAUGAUCGUUCGGGAGACAUGGGCCCACGCGCUAUGGGAUGUGAGAUCUACUCAUUGAUUUUAUAUUAGAUGAGCGGCCAUACUAUGAUCGUUCAGGAGACAUGGGCCUACGCAUUACACACAAGAAUGAAUUGUUAUGUGGUCGGUAAACUCUUUCCUUUCUGC